rnacentral:rRNA from 1 species
GACGAACGCUGGCGGCGUGCUUAACACAUGCAAGUCGAACGCUGAAACCGCGACGGUGGGGGUUGGGUGGCGGAGGGGUGCGUAACACGAAGGCAACCUUCCCCCGCCUCUGGGAUAAGGCCAAGAACGUGGGGCCAAUACUGGAACUGGCCACUGUCCUGAUGGGCAGGGGUUGGUAGGGAUUGCCGGCUGGGGUGGGGCUCGGGGCGGAACAGCUUGUAGGUGGGGUAGUGGGCUACCAAGGCGACGACGGGUGGCCGGCCGGGGAGGCUGACCGGCCACACUGGGACUGACAGACGGCAGCGGCUGCUACGGGUGGCAGCAGUGGGGAAUCUUGCGGAAUCGGCGCAAGCCUGACGAAGAGACGCUGCGUGGCGGAUGACGGUGUUCGUGUUGUAGACCAAUUUCAGCAGGAACGAAGCGCAAGUGACGGUACCUGCAUAAGAAGCACCGGCCAACUUCGUG